rnacentral:misc_RNA from 1 species
GUAGGUGAACCUGCGGAAGGAUCACUAGUGAUUAAAUCGAGAGCGUCUUCAUUGACCUCUCACCCUUCACAUCCACAUACACCUGUGCACCGUUUGGCUCUUAUAAAAGACGCAAGUCUGCAAUGAGAGUCAUCAAUUUUAUACAUACCCCAGUCUUAUGAAUGUAACAGUUUUAAUAAACAUAAUAAAACUUUUAACAACGGAUCUCUUGGUUCUC